rnacentral:rRNA from 1 species
AGAGUUUGAUCCUGGCUCAGGAUGAACGCUGGCGGCGUGCUUAACACAUGCAAGUCGAACGAACCUUCGGGUUAGUGGCGGACGGGUGAGUAACGCGUGAGAAUCUGCCCUCAGGAGGGGGAUAACAGUUGGAAACGACUGCUAAUACCCCAUAUGCCGAGAGGUGAAAUGAAUUUCGCCUGGGGAUGAGCUCGCGUCUGAUUAGCUUGUUGGUGGGGUAAUAGCCUACCAAGGCUUCGAUCAGUAGCUGGUCUGAGAGGACGAUCAGCCACACUGGGACUGAGACACGGCCCAGACUCCUACGGGAGGCAGCAGUGGGGAAUUUUCCGCAAUGGGCGAAAGCCUGACGGAGCAACGCCGCGUGAGGGAUGGAGGCCUUUGGGCUGUAAACCUCUUUUCUCAAGGAAGAAGAUCUGACGGUACUUGAGGAAUAAGCCACGGCUAAUUCCGUGCCAGCAGCCGCGGUAAUACGGGAGUGGCAAGCGUUAUCCGGAAUUAUUGGGCGUAAAGCGUCCGCAGGCGGCCGUUUAAGUCUGUUGUUAAAUCGUGGAGCUCAACUCCAUCACGGCAAUGGAAACUGUUCGGCUUGAGUAUGGUAGGGGCAGAGGGAAUUUCCGGUGUAGCGGUGAAAUGCGUAGAUAUCGGGAAGAACACCAGUGGCGAAAGCGCUCUGCUGGGCCAUUACUGACGCUCAUGGACGAAAGCCAGGGGAGCGAAAGGGAUUAGAUACCCCUGUAGUCCUGGCCGUAAACGAUGAACACUAGAUGUUGGGGGAAUCGACCCCCUCGGUGUCGUAGCUAACGCGUUAAGUGUUCCGCCUGGGGAGUACGCACGCAAGUGUGAAACUCAAAGGAAUUGACGGGGGCCCGCACAAGCGGUGGAGUAUGUGGUUUAAUUCGAUGCAACGCGAAGAACCUUACCAAGGCUUGACAUCCUGCGAAUCUCUAAGAAAUUAGAGAGUGCCUUCGGGAACGCAGUGACAGGUGGUGCAUGGCUGUCGUCAGCUCGUGUCGUGAGAUGUUGGGUUAAGUCCCGCAACGAGCGCAACCCACGUUUUUAGUUGCCAGCAUUCAGUUGGGCACUCUAGAAAGACUGCCGGUGACAAACCGGAGGAAGGUGUGGACGACGUCAAGUCAUCAUGCCCCUUACGCCUUGGGCUACACACGUACUACAAUGCUGCGGGCAAAGAGUAGCGAUCUUGCGAAAGUUAGCUAAUCUCAUAAACCGUGGCUCAGUUCAGAUCGUAGGCUGCAACUCGCCUACGUGAAGGAGGAAUCGCUAGUAAUCGCAGGUCAGCAUACUGCGGUGAAUACGUUCCCGGGCCUUGUACACACCGCCCGUCACACCAUGGAAGUUGGCCAUGCCCGAAGUCGUUACUCUAACCUUUUGGAAGAGGGCGCCGAAGGCAGGGCUAAUGACUGGGGUGAAGUCGUAACAAGGUAACC